rnacentral:tmRNA from 1 species
GGGGGCGAAUGGUUUCGACGGUGGCGGACCGGGAUAGGGAACGCAUGCCGAGGUCCCAGUGGUCUCGUUAAACAACUGGGAAAAAUCAACUGCCAACUCCGAAUUGGCCCUGGCUGCCUAACUAAAGGGAGCCACGUCUUCCCCACUCCCUCCUGCCUGUGAGACGGGGAAGGCGCCGACGAUACAGGCUGGUCGGUGCGCUCGCCGGAUGCGCUCCGACGAGAUCGGAUUCCGGAUCACCCCAUCACCAUCCUGUCCACUGGAAGGUGGUGGGGGAAAACUGAAAAUGGACUAAGCAUGUAGGGGUCUCUGUUGCGGCGCCAUCGGACGUGGGUUCGAAUCCCACCGCCUCCACCA